rnacentral:rRNA from 1 species
UACGGAAGGCAGCAGUGGGGAAUAUUGCACAAUGGGCGCAAGCCUGAUGCAGCCAUGCCGCGUGUAUGAAGAAGGCCUUCGGGUUGUAAAGUACUUUCAGCGGGGAGGAAGGCGGUGAAGUUAAUAGCUUCACCGAUUGACGUUACCCGCAGAAGAAGCACCGGCUAACUCCGUGCCAGCAGCCGCGGUAAUACGGAGGGUGCAAGCGUUAAUCGGAAUUACUGGGCGUAAAGCGCACGCAGGCGGUCUGUCAAGUCGGAUGUGAAAUCCCCCGGGCUUAACCUGGGAACUGCAUUCGAAACUGGCAGGCUAGAGUCUUGUAGAGGGGGUAGAAUUCCAGGUGUAGCGGUGAAAUGCGUAGAGAUCUGGAGGGAAUACCGGUGGCGAAGGGCGGGCCCCCUGGGACAAAGACUGACGCUCAGGGUGCGAAAGCGUGGGGAGCAAACAGGAUUAGAUAUC